GGCCCAGUGGUGUACCGCCAACAUAUCCUCUUUCAAUUUAGGGCACCUAAUUGAAACUGAAUAUAUGAGGAAGCACCCCGUUCGACUCGGGGCUGGGCCC